rnacentral:rRNA from 1 species
AGAGCGAACGCUGGCGGCAGGCUUAACACAUGCAAGUCGAGCGCCCCGCAAGGGGAGCGGCAGACGGGAGAGUAACACGUGGGAACGUACCCUUUGGUUCGGAACAACCCAGGGAAACUUGGGCUAAUACCGGAUAAGUCCGUAAGGAGAAAGAUUUAUCGCCAAUGGAUCGGCCCGCGUCUGAUUAGCUAGUUGGUGAGGUAAUGGCUCACCAAGGCGACGAUCAGUAGCUGGUCUGAGAGGAUGAUCAGCCUCACUGGGACUGAGACACGGCCCAGACUCCUACGGGAGGCAGCAGUGGGGAAUAUUGGACAAUGGGCGCAAGCCUGAUCCAGCCAUGCCGCGUGGGUGAUGAAGGCCCUAGGGUUGUAAAGCCUUUCGGCGGGAAAUAAUGACGGUACCGCAGAAGAAGCCCCGGCUAACUUCGUGCCAGCAGCCGC